CCUACGGGAGGCAGCAGUAGGGAAUAUUGCUCAAUGGGGGAAACCCUGAAGCAGCAACGCCGCGUGGGGGAGGACGGUUUUAGGAUUUUUAACUCCUUUUUUGAGAGAAGAUAAUGACGGUACCUCUCGAAUAAGCACCGGCUAACUCCGUGCAAGCAGCCGCGGUAAUACGGAGGGUGCAAGCGUUACUCGGAAGCACUGGGCGUAAAGAGUGCGCAGGCGGGCUUGUAAGUCAGAUGUGAAAUCCGGUAGCUUAACUACAGAACUGCAUUUGAAACUGUGUGUCUAGAGUGUAGGAGAGGUAGGUGGAAUUCUUGGUGUAGGGGUAAAAUCCGUAGAUAUCAAGAGGAAUACUCAUUGCGAAGGCGACCUACUGGAACAUUACUGACGCUCAUGCACGAAAGCGUGGGGAGCAAACAGGAUUAGAUACCCUUGUAGUC
rnacentral:rRNA from 1 species